CGUCCAGGGGGCCGCCUUCGCCACCGGUAUUCCUCCAGAUCUCUACGCAUUUCACCGCUACACCUGGAAUUCUACCCCCCUCUACGAGACUCAAGCUUGCCAGUAUCAGAUGCAGUUCCCAGGUUGAGCCCGGGGAUUUCACAUCUGACUUAACAAACCGCCUGCGUGCGCUUUACGCCCAGUAAUUCCGAUUAACGCUUGCACCCUCCGUAUUACCGCGGCUGCUGGCACGGAGUUAGCCGGUGCUUCUUCUGCGGGUAACGUCAAUGAGCAAAGGUAUUAACUUUACUCCCUUCCUCCCCGCUGAAAGUACUUUACAACCCGAAGGCCUUCUUCAUACACGCGGCAUGGCUGCAUCAGGCUUGCGCCCAUUGUGCAAUAUUCCCCACUGCUGCCUCCCGUAGGAGUCUGGACCGUGUCUCAGUUCCAGUGUGGCUGGUCAUCCUCUCAGACCAGCUAGGGAUCGUCGCCUAGGUGAGCCGUUACCCCACCUACAAGCUAAUCCCAUCUGGGCACAUCCGAUGGCAAGAGGCCCGAAGGUCCCCCUCUUUGGUCUUGCGACGUUAUGCGGUAUUAGCUACCGUUUCCAGUAGUUAUCCCCCUCCAUCAGGCAGUUUCCCAGACAUUACUCACCCGUCCGCCACUCGUCAGCGAAGCAGCAAGCUGCUUCCUGUUACCGUUCGACUUGCAUGUGUUAGG
rnacentral:rRNA from 1 species